GUUCAUGUAGCUUUGUUAAAAACAUCAUUUAGCCCUGCUUCUUGCGAGCUGAUCCAGCUGAAGAGGCAAAACACCCAUGGUAAGCUCACUAAAUGACACUAUAUCAGUGCAUACGCCAUGAGGAUUACGACACACACUAUCAGCACGUAGGUCUCUAACGCCGAAUGAUCCGUGCAGCACCUUUAUCUUAAUGUGCCCACUACGCACCCAUGUGCCCUGAAGAAAAUAGGAAUAAGGUGUUGGGUGGGAGCUGAUUAAAGGUGAGAAUGAGGUGUGACACACUCAUUUGGAUCUGACUGAUGUGCCGCGGACCAGGUGGAGAAGAGAAAUAUUAAGGAGGGGGAUGAAUCCUACAGUACCUGCUGCUGUUUGCUCCUGCUGGCCUGUAAGUCUUUAAUAUCGUGCCAUUUGGAUCUGAGAGUGAUCACUUCAUAAGUUCCACAAAGAUGUAGCUUUCCUCAUUUUCAGACCUGGGCACGUUUGCUGCGGUCCGAAUCCGAGUGCGAUUGUUCAGAGCGCCCCCUGCAGCGUCGAACACUCGAUUCAAUCGAACCCUGGUGCAUUUGCGUUCAUCUUACGUCUUCACAAACGCACACAAAGAACACAAGGCGACUCACUGUAUUUUUUUAUUAUUAUUAUUUUAUUUUAUUUUGGUGAUAUUAUGCGCAGACCUCUUCUGCGUCCCACAGAAUCCCGUGUCGCUCAUGGUACACCUGUGCUGUGGAAACUAACCAUAUCAUCAUCAUCGGCUAAAACGUGCGCGGGUUACUUUACUUCCCGAACGAGUGCGGACCCGAGCACGAGUUGCGUUCACGUUGACGGGAAUAACGGCUCAGUUCCAGUGCAACCGAACUCGCACCUCCUCCUACACUAGGGUACUAGGGUUCGGGACCAGGGUGCGCUCCUAGGUCCGCAUGACAGCUUUCACAUGACCAAUUUUUCAUGCAAAUUGUGCCGUUUCAGAUUAAACUGGCAGUGUGAAAGCCAUCUUGGUUGUUAUACGGUAUCCUUUUGUCUGUUCUGUGGCAAUAGUAGUGGGGAAUCGAGAAUAAACCAUGACAGGGCAUGUUCUAAGAAAAUAAACAAACACCGGAGGGUCAUUACAGUAACGGUUGAUUGAUUAUAAAUGCAUGUCCUGAAUUGUUGUAUUUUUCUUACACUUACACAACCGUUUUGUUUUUCAUUAAAGAAUAACAUGCUGUAGUCUUUAUCCGUUUAUUGUUACAAUUAUUGUUGUGGAAGGCCAACAAAACGAGUCGGGUCCUGCCGUCACUUGCGUUAUACGGCCAUGAAGUCACCCCCUCACCUUUUU
ensembl:lncRNA